rnacentral:tRNA from 1 species
UGGACCCUUAGCUCAGUUGGUUAGAGCAGACGGCUCAUAACCGUCCGGUCGCAGGUUCGAGUCCUGCAGGGUCCAU